UACGUAGGGUGCGAGCGUUGUCCGGAAUUAUUGGGCGUAAAGAGCUUGUAGGCGGUUUGUCGCGUCUGCCGUGAAAUUUCGGGGCUCAACCCCGAACUUGCGGUGGGUACGGGCAGACUAGAGUGUGGUAGGGGAGACUGGAAUUCCUGGUGUAGCGGUGAAAUGCGCAGAUAUCAGGAGGAACACCGAUGGCGAAGGCAGGUCUCUGGGCCACUACUGACGCUGAGAAGCGAAAGCGUGGGGAGCGAACAGG
rnacentral:rRNA from 1 species